rnacentral:tRNA from 1 species
GUCCCCGUAGGCUAAUGGAAAAACCACUGGGCUACGAACUCAGGAUUGGGCGUUCGAGUCGCUCCGGGGAUG